UUAUAUUUGGCUGUGGAUUAGUAUAUUUUUUUACAGUCCAUUUUUUUUUUCUUUUAAUUAGCAUAAGUACUUCGAAUUCUUCCUCUUCUUGGGAUGUAUUGCCAAAAUGGCAGCAGAGGGUCAGCUUCACCACUCUGGUGACAAAGCCUUACAAGGAGCCACCGCGAUGCCUUCCCCAGUCCGUUCUCUGCCAAGAUGACAAGUCCCUCACUGCUGUCAGCCCAGCGUAGGAAAUCCACACGGCAACGCGGAGAAUGUUUAUUGUGGAGGGAGAACUUUUGCCCUGUGAAGUCACCUCCUAGCAGUCACCAGUAGGCUUCUGAUAUUCUAUCACAGGAAAUUCCUGGUGGGCCACAAAAGCGGUCCCCUGAGUGCAGCUGCCGGGGGAGCAGCGGUGCGACGGACUGCAGGGCUGGGCCCGGGGCCUGUGUGCACCCGAGCACCUGUGCCCUGUGAAACGCAGACCGUGUGCUCCCAAACAAUGUCCCAAUGAACCGUAUGGGGGGCAGAGGUCACGCGAACCAUUAUUGUGCUGCAUUUUAUGCAAACAAAAAAAAUGUAUUAGAGGAUGUGCUUUGUAUUGUAACAAGUGCACCUCCAUGACAUUGGCAUCAUCAUUAUUGCCAGCCUUGUCAGAGCCAACUGUGUGCAACCGUGAGGAGCAGGGAGUCAUGACUGGUGGCAUCAGCUCUCAGAACCACAGCAGAGCAGCACGACACAGUUAUGUUUUAAGAGACAAUAUUUAGGGAAUACCAGCACUGUACAAGCCUGCAGCAGCUGUACCAAGUUACUGAAAGACCAGAACACAUACCCUCCAGGCCAAGAAGCAAGUGAUUCUAAAGGUGCUUUCAGAAGGUGCCCAUGAAACUGAGAAGCAUAUGCACAAUUUUUAAAAAGUGCCUUGCUGAGAGAUGAUGGACUGGGUAGGGCAGAGAAAUCAAAUGGACAUUUUCGAAAACUGCACCCCUUAUUUUAAAAGAAAGGAAAACGUGAGGCAAUCGCAGCUGAUUCAGCAUCCGGCAGUCUCAGCCAAGUCAUAUUUUACCUCUUCCCUUCCCUCCCCACACAAAACUUCCAGGAAAACCUGCAAAGAAAAGGCAUAUGUGGGUAGGAGGAGACCUGCUUUUAAUUUCUGUACCUCCUAUUCAACACAAUGCCACACAAUGCACAGGAUGCGAAUAUCCCAAGACACCUUAUACAAUACAAGUAACAAAAGCACACACAUGCACAAGAAAGGGGGAGAAACAAGCAUGACAGAGUUAUAAAGCAGAGUGCAGGUAAAGCUAUCUCUAAAGUAUCUCCAAUAUAAAGGAGCUCCAUGGAAAAUUUACCUUUAGAAAAGGGAAGCGGGGGACUAGAGAAAUAUUUCAGUGAACAUGAGAACUAGAUUUCCAUUUCAAAGCAGAGCAGUAUUUAUCUAUUUUUUCUGGUGUGUUGUAUGUAGUGGCCAGAUCUUCAUUACCAGCAAAGGAGGAAGUCUUAAGGAGGUGUUUGCACUGAGGUCCAACAGGGAUGUUCCUAUGGUUGGUCUACAGAGCAACCUGGUGUCUGUAGAGCACUGAGUCCCAUAAUGGCUGUGAUGAUAGCCUACAGAAAUGGCUGAGGUUUGCAGUAUAUCACCUCAGCUGUAAAGGUUUUCACCUUCUUUUGUCUGAGGAGUGUGCAUGUAGAGUCUGCUCACUCCCAAGAAACACUACCUGGCCUGGUUAAAGGAGAUCAUUCAGGAGAUGGGACCACAGCUGAAGUGCAAGUGCAAAGUGCCUGGAGCAAUGCUCAGUAUUACAGCUCCUGUCAGCACUCAAUGAAUGCAUCAGAGCGUGAUCAAAGAAAUCCAGGGUUCCUCCAAGCCUCUUGCUGAGGCACGGCUCUGCAUAUCCGUGAGUGAACAUGCUGUGGGUCAAGCACCAGGAACCUUGCCUGACCUGCUCUCAGCUCAGGCACAAUUCAUUCAAAGUUUGUGAGCUUGCGAAGUUUACAAAGAAAACACCAUUUCUGAGUCAGCAACUCUUUAAAGUUUGUCUGGAGUUGCUGUGAGAUUUUUACAGCAAAGAUGUAUUCUGUUUUCAGAUAGGAAUGAAAGCAAAAUACUUUAAACAAUCAAUCAAACAAACAAAACCAUGGGACAUGAUCUUUACAAUAUGUUUAUUAGAAAGAACAAUUUUUUAGUGUACAAAAAUAGGGCUUCAUAUGUAGAUAGGAAGACUAAAUGACUUUUAGUCACAAGGCUACUGGCUGCAUCAAAAUCCAAUGUGAAUAUAUAGAGGCAGAGAGGAGAAACUGCAGGAAGCAGAAGAGGGCUAUAGCCAUGAAUCACUUCUCCCUGUAGAAUGGGGUCACCAGAGUAACUUGUUUAAUUGAUUACAUAUUUCUUCAGUGUUUGAAAAAAAAAAUGAAGUUGGCACUUUUUUUUAUUGUAUUUGUGCAUUGAUGGACAGUUGCUAUCUGUAUAGUGUAAGUAGAGUGGGCAAAGAGGAUCAUUUUGAGCAUCUUAGCUCCUAAUCCUAAUUCUGGAUCCAUAUCACAAGCAAUACCUCAUUCCUCCUUAAUGGAUGUUCAGUUACUGCAUCAAAUAUGCACUUGGUUUAAUGUUAUUGGGAACUUCAUUAGGAAGAAGGAAUAAAACAACAAAAAGCAGAGAAAUAUUUUUUUAGUAUUGUAUAUUGUGAAGUGUGAUGAUAAAGAGGUUUUUUAUUCUGGCUCUUGGGGAUACUCACUAAUGGAACAAGAUGUCCCCUGCCCACCACCAGCCACAGAGCUGCAGCUGUGUGCUGCUUAAAGCUUCUGCGAAGGACGCAGAUUUAUUAUGUUGUGUAUCUCCACUUCCUAUAUUCCUGACAGGACUGCACUCUGGCUUUUGCUUUUGUUCUUCCAAAAAUAAAAAAAAAUCAAAACAAACUAACGAGGCUCUGCUGUACAAAGGAAGGGUAAUCCUAGCUGCAUAUAGAGGUGUCUUUCACAGUAAGAAUGUGGAUGCUUGAAGACAUAUCUAAAAGAUUGCUUUGUAUUAACCGAAGAAACAUCACUUAAAUAAUUGGCUGAACUUCUGUGUGUUUGUGCUCUGUAAUCAAUGUCCUGAUAGAUAGAUGAAUAACUGGUAUCUCCUUCAGCAGUAAGCUCCUCGCCCAUCCCUGUGGCCUGCUGCUCCCCAUCCCACCUCACCUUGCAGAUCUGGCUGCCUCUAGCCCCAGCUGGCACCUCCUCAGCUGCCUGCUCAGGAAAAGGACUCAUUUGUUGCCUGAGCAUUGGGCUGAGUGGUAAAACUGCUCCAAAGUGAAUCAGUAGUCUAGUUCCAGUAAGUGACUUCAUUAUUCUUGUGUUUGUGUUUGGCUAAAAGCCAAUGACUUGCUUAGGAACAGGCUGAACACAAAUGGUGUUCCGUGAAAGUUAGUGUGUAUCAUGCACAAAUAUCCUCUUAGUACAUUCUGGUGUCCUAAGUGUGCAUUCAUAAAUAUAUCUUUUUAUAGUAAAACAACAUCCAAAGCUUAUCCCAUAGGUACUCUGCAUCUAGGUAAA